UCUUAUGGCCAUACCACCCUGAACAUGGCUCAUCUCAUCUGAUCUUGGAAGCUAAGCAGGGUUAGUGCUUGGAUGGGAGACCACCUGGCAAUAACAGGUCCAAUAAGGU
rnacentral:rRNA from 1 species